UGACCUCGGAUCAGGUAGGACUACCCGCUGAACUUAAGCAUAUCAAUAAGCGGAGGAAAAGAAACCAACAGGGAUUGCCUCAGUAACGGCGAGUGAAGCGGCAACAGCUCAAAUUUGAAAUCUGGCUCCCCUUGGGGGUCCGAGUUGUAAUUUGGAGAGGAUGUUUCUGGCGCGGCGCCUACCGGAGUUCCUUGGAACAGGACGCCACAGAGGGUGAGAGCCCCGUACGGUUGGCCGCCUAGCCUGCACGAAACUCCUUCGACGAGUCGAGUAGUUUGGGAAUGCUGCUCAAAAUGGGAGGUAAAUUUCUUCUAAAGCUAAAUACCGGCCAGAGACCGAUAGCGCACAAGUAGAGUGAUCGAAAGAUGAAAAGCACCUUGAAAAGAGGGUUAAACAGUACGUGAAAUUGUUGAAAGGGAAGCGCCUGCGACCAGACUCGCGCCCCGCGGACCAGCCGGCGUUCUCGCCGGUGCACUCCGCGGGGUGCGGGCCAGCAUCGGUUCUCCCUGGGGGAGAAAGGCUGCGGGAAUGUAGCUCCUUCGGGAGUGU
rnacentral:rRNA from 1 species